rnacentral:rRNA from 1 species
ACAACCUGCCUAUAAGAGGGGAAUAACAGUGAGAAAUUACUGAUAAUACCGUAUAAGCUGGAGGUAUCGCAUGAUACAUUCAGAAAAGAUUUAUCGCUUAUAGAUGGGCUUGCGUCUGAUUAGCUAGUUGGUGAGAUAACAGCUCACCAAGGCGACGAUCAGUAGCCGGAUUGAGAGGUUGAACGGCCACAUUGGGACUGAGACACGGCCCAG